UGUCGCAGUUAAAUGUGGUUAUUCAUUGUCAUUUGUUUGAUUUAACUGUGGAAAUAUUUAAUUUAAUUUCUUUGUUGAUUUGACGCCACCUGCUGGCUGGAUUGAAAUUUGACACUGGAAGGUGCGCGCGAGCGGAGCGAAUGAUUAACUGACACAAGCACGGAGAAGCGACCAGAAGAAGCUCACAUCGGAUAAAGAAAAGUGGACAUGGACUGAAAUUGCUUGUGAAUAUUAAGUGGAGAGGCGCACACGGUGUGUUUGUAUAUUUAUCUGUAUUGCAUUAAUAUCUGAGUUAUAAGUUUAUGUUUCUAAAAUUAAUAUUUGUGUUUAUUGUUGUUCAUUUCACCGUAGUUUUUCACGGUGUUUGCUGGUAACAAGAAGAUAAAGAACCAGUUGAACAUCAGUUGGAGCAUGGCGUUUUAUUCCACAAAAAACAAAAUAUCCUUCAUGAGCAGUUACAGUGAAAAACGUGUCCUGUUAAGAAGUACGCAGCCAGAGCCCUGCAUGCCAUGCUUUGAAGACGGCAGUCCACAGUCUGCGGCCCAAUCCGCAUGAAAUAAAGAGGGCCGAUACGACGUUUUGGGAAUUGAGCAGUUUUGCAGAGCCUUUCAACAUCAUACGAAACCAGGUCAGACUGUAUCUAUGAGUUAAAAAAAAACGGACAUUAACGGUGUAUGCUACAGACAUUGAAUGCUGUUUAAAAAACGGACAUUAACGGUGUAUGCUACAGACAUUGAAUGCUGUUUAAAAAACGGACAUUAACGGUGUAUGCUACAGAUAUUGAAAGUUGUUUAAAAACGGACAUUAACGGUGUAUGCUACAGAUAUUAUUGAAAGUUUGUUAAAAAGAAAAAAGGUUUGUUACUAUUUUACAGUUUGAAUUUGAAGUAGUGUUCUCAUGUUAAGUUUUCUUUCAUUGUUCUUAGCUGUUGGUUUAAAAUAUUGUUCACAAUGGAGCAGGGUGUACAAGAAACUCGUGUUUUAGAGGAAGUACUUGUAGCUUUAGAAUUUGAAAAGUUACAUUUAGAAAAGAAAUUAGAAACUGAAGUUGAAGAUGCAGAAAGAGAGGAAGUUGAAAUACGCUUAGGUGAAAUUUAUGCAGACCUUGAAAUACAUAAAAUAGGUUUGACUCAGCCAUCAUCCCAACCUGAGACAGAAGUGAGACGCUCAGAGCGUCAAAGAAAACUAACAGAAAAAAUGCGUGACUUUAAACAGUCUGAGAUAACAAGUAAAGAAAGAAAGUUUAUGUCAACAUAUGUAAACUUUAAAGCAGAGAUUCAACUCUCUAGGUCCAAACUUAAAAAGGAAUGUUCAAAAGCAGAGUUAACUGAAAUGAUCAAAUCAGUAGGAAAAUGUGAAUCUGACCUACAGCAAGAUUAUGUAGCUUUACGUACACUGACUACUCCAUCUCAAGAUUUCAGAAGAAAGAUGGAUAGCUGUUCUUCAGUUUCCACUGAAAUGAUGUUGCUUCUGAAAAGGCGCUAUGCAGAUGUUGAUAAGGAGUUUGAUGCAAUUGCUGUAAAAGACUCACUCCUUCAGUUGCUUCAGAGAGAAGAUGCUAAGUCAAUGUAUGGCUCAACUGUGUCUAGGGCUGAAAAAAGUAGCCAGAACAGUUAUAGUAAGCAAGGAAGUCAGGUAUCUGCAAAGAAAGCAGAGGCAGCUGCACGGUUGGCAUCUAAACGAGCUGAAAUAAGCAGGGAAAAGGAAAUUUCUGCCCAAAGAAAGGAGAUAUUAGCUCAACAAGAGAGAUUAAAAUUGUUGGAAAAGCAAAGAGAUCUUGAGGUUAUUGAGGCUGAAUACAAUGUGUAUGCUGAAGAGGAAUCAAAAUUGAAUGCUGAAAUAAGAAACAGUGAAGUAAAAGGUACUUUGUCUUUUAGUCAGCUUCCCAAACCUCUUAACAGUCCUCCAUACACCCAAGCUAUCCAGAGUACGGCACCUCCUAACUUUGAAGGUAUAACCAACAAGAUCCCAAAAUAUCUUCCAGUGCCCAAGUGUGAUACUAGAGUAGCGUCAAAAGAAAGUGAGUUAUCUCUAGUUCAAGCUUUAAAGGAGUCUUUAGCAAUGACUAGACUUCCAAUACCAGAGCCAUUUACCUUUACAGGAGACCCACUGAAGUUUACUGAGUGGAGCACUUGCUUCAAGGCUCUUAUUGAGACUAGUUGCACAAAUUCAGCCCAUAAACUUUUCUACUUGAAGAAAUACAUUAAUGGAGAAGCUCUUGGUGUUUUAGAAGGGACAUUCUAUCGCAGUGAUGAGGAAGCUUACAACCAAGCUUGGGAUGCUCUGAACAACCGUUAUGGCCACCCAUUUGUAGUUCAAAGAGCUUUUCGGGGAAAGCUAAGCAGUUGGCCAAAGAUCGGACCAAAAGAGUCACUAAAGCUGAGAGAGUUUAGUGAUUUCCUUGUUUCCUGUAAGAAUGCUAUGCCCCAUGUUCAGGGCCUCAAAGUGUUGGAUGAUUGUGAGGAGAAUCAAAAAUUAUUACUGAAACUUCCUGAUUGGGCAACAACCCGCUGGAACCGUCAUGUGUCAAAACUGUUAGAUGAAGGAAAGGAAUAUCCAGGUUUCACAGAGUUUGCUGACUUUGUGGCAGAAGAAGCACGAAUAGCAUGCAAUCCAGUUUCUUCUUUGUUUGCCUUAAAGAACACAUUUGAAAAACCUGAAAAGGAACAAAAACGUCAGAAAGCCAGUGUCCUGAUGACAACAACGAAUGUGUCUACAAAUGAAAAGGCCACAGCUGCAACACAGAUCAACAAAAAAUCCAAACCCAACCUUUCCUCAACUCAGAAUAAAAGGCAAAUUGAAUGCAUCUGCUGCAGGCAAAAUCACUUUAUUUACAAAUGUGACAAGUUUACAGCAAUGUCUCUUGAAGAAAAGAAGCAGUUCAUUAUCGACAACAAUAUGUGCUUUGGUUGUCUUCGUGUUGGUCACAUAUCCAAGAACUGUCAACAAAGAGUAACAUGUAAUGUUUGUAAGCGGAAGCACCCUUCUCCUCUUCAUGAAGAUCAUCCACAACCAGAUAAGCCUGAGAUGUUACCGAAAGAGGAAAAUGCAGCCACUGUAUCAUGCAGUGUGAAAUUGGACAACAGUGAUUGCACUUCAAUGAUUGUCCCAGUUUGGCUUUCUUCUUCAACAAAUAGACCAGAAACAUUGGUUUAUGCUUUGCUAGACACCCAAAGCAGCAAUACAUUUAUUGAUCAAAAUGUUUGUGAAAAAUUACAAGCAAGAACAGGACCCGUUAAAUUAAAGCUGACAACCAUAACUGACAGGUGUUCUAUUGUGCCUAGUCAAAGAGUGGAAGGACUGAGAGUUAGAGGGUACCACUCACAAGAGUAUAUUGAGUUGCCACCUACAUAUACUCGAGAAUACAUUCCACUUGAGAAAAACAGUAUUCCAACUCGAGAGACUGCAAAAAAAUGGCCCCACCUACUCAGCAUUGCAAAUGAAAUGCCAGAUCUCUUGGACUGUCCUGUAGCUCUCCUCAUUGGUUAUGACUGUACAAGAGCUCUAAAACCAAGGAAGGUCAUACCAGGAGAGGAUUAUGAUCCCUAUGCAGUUAAAACAGACUUGGGAUGGAGCAUUGUGGGACCCAUUAAGCCAUGGACAGGUUCAGUGGGCGCAACUGGGACCUGCCAUCGUGUAAUAGUAAAGGAAUUGCCAUCUAUUACACCUGCAUCUGUGAUUAAAGCACUUGAAGCUGAUUUUCUGGACACUAACCCCAAAGAAGGGAACAUAUCUCAAGAGGACAUUCAGUUUUUAGAGAUGCUAAAUGAAAACAUUCACUACAAUGAGCAAGGUCAUUUAGAAAUGCCUUUACCUUUUAAAGAACGUCCACAGCUUCCAAAUAACAAGCAGCUUGCAACAGUUCGUCUGAAAUAUUUGAAAAUGAAAAUGGACAAGAACCCCAAGUACAAAGAAGAUUACAUAAAGUUCAUGAAUAAUGUGUUUAAAGAUGGUGAUGCAGAGGAAGCAGAAGAAACACCACAGGAUGGUAACACAUGGUACAUUCCACACCACGGUGUGUAUCACCCCAGAAAGCCAGAAAAAAUUAGAGUUGUUUUUGACUGCUCUGCUAAACAUGAAGACACCUCUUUAAAUGACCACUUACUUACAGGCCCAGACUUGAUCAAUACUCUGGCAGGAGUAUUGUGCAGAUUCCGAGAGAACAGAAUCGCAAUAAUGUGCGAUGUGGAGAAAAUGUUUCACCGCUUCCAUGUUAAUCCAGAGGAUCGAGAUUUCUUAAGGUUUUUGUGGUGGAAGGAUGGAAAUACAAAUACUGAGCCAAAGGAAUAUCGCAUGCGAGUGCAUGUAUUUGGUACAGCGUCAUCGCCUGGAUGUGCUAACUUUGGCAUGAAACAUCUCGCCAGAAGAAACGAAAAGGACUACCCACUGGCAGCCAGUUUCAUUCACAAAAACUUUUAUGUGGAUGAUGGGCUUCUCAGUGUUGAAACAGAUAAGAAAGCCAAGCAGCUAGUCUGUGAAGCACUCAAACUCUGUGUUAAAGGGAAGUUGCGUUUGCACAAAUUUGUGUGCAACAACAAAGAGGUCAUGAGUGUUAUUCCUGAAAGUGAACGAGCUGGCAACACUACGGAUGUAAACAUGAACUACUCUGAAGUUCCAAUGAAAAGUGUGCUGGGAGUAAAAUGGAAUGUGGAAGCCGAUGUGUUCACAUUCAGUGGAGCCCUCAAAGAAAGGCCAGCCACACGCCGAGGAAUUCUAGCAACAGUAGCAAGUGUGUAUGACCCGUUAGGAUUUCUUUCACCCUACACUUUGAUAGGAAAACAAGUACUCCAGGAAAUGUGCAAAAGUGGAGUUGGAUGGGAUGAACCUGUUCCUUCCGCACUGGAAACCAAGUGGAAAGCUUGGCUCUGUGACUUGGAAAAUCUUCGAAAGGUCGAAAUACCUAGAUGCCUCUUUCCUGAGAACCUAGGCAAAAUCAAAAGGGUUGAGCUGCAUCAUUUUUCUGAUGCUAGCAGCAGUGGCUAUGGACAAUGCUCAUACAUUAGGUUUGUUACAGAUGAACAAGUGCAUUGUGCUCUAGUUAUGGGUAAAGCCAGAGUGGCACCUAUAAAAAUAGUCACAAUCCCGCGCCUCGAGCUCACUGCAGCUGCAGUUUCUGCUUUUGUUAGUAACUUUCUUAGAGCAGAGCUUGAGCGGAAAAUCGACGAGGAGUUUUUCUGGACAGAUUCUCAAGUGACUCUUGGGUACAUAAAAAACGAUGCUCGUCGCUUUCAUGUGUUUGUUGCAAAUCGAGUUCAAAAAAUAAGAGACACUACAGACCCAAACCAAUGGUUUUACAUUAAAGCUGAUCAAAAUCCAGCUGACCACGCAUCUAGAGGCCUCAAGGUGGCAGAGCUAAUAAACUCAAACUGGCUCACUGGACCUAAAUUCCCUUGGGAAAGAGAAAUUAUCACGAACCAACAAUCUCCAGAACUUCUUGUUGGUGACCCAGAGGUAAAAGUUCUUAAAACAGAUGCUAUUGAGCAAGACAGGUUUCUUGAGAGGUUCAUGAAAUGCUCUGAUUGGAUCACAGCACUUAAUGUGGUAGCAAGGAUUAAAAGUCUUGCAAAAAGAGACAAAUCAGGAGCCAUCAGUGUGAAAGAAAGACAAAUGGCUGCUUCUGUACUCUUCCAGCUAGCACAGAAGGAAGCUUUUGAAGAGGAACUCAGAUGGUUUAGUGAGAAAGGUUAAGAUCCAAGUAGGUCAAAGAGAUUUAGGGAACAAAGGUGAACGUCUGAGACAACUAUCUUUUCUGGAGAGACCUGUUCAAAAACUAGUGGUUUUGGUUAAAAGUGAGUCCUAAACUACAGUAAAGUACAAAAUUUGAUACAACAUUAAAAUGUGAUAUUUGAGUUUAUCAAGUUACUGAUUUCUGUGUGUUUCAUAACAAAGGUUUAUGGUUGAUAGUUAUUUUAUUGAAAAUUACAAGAUUUAAAGUUCUUUAAUGUGUAGUGAAUUUCAAUCAUUGUAAUUUUGGUGGCAGUGUAGCUGUCGCAGUUAAAUGUGGUUAUUCAUUGUCAUUUGUUUGAUUUAACUGUGGAAAUAUUUAAUUUAAUUUCUUUGUUGAUUUGACGCCACCUGCUGGCUGGAUUGAAAUUUGACACUGGAAGGUGCGCGCGAGCGGAGCGAAUGAUUAACUGACACAAGCACGGAGAAGCGACCAGAAGAAGCUCACAUCGGAUAAAGAAAAGUGGACAUGGACUGAAAUUGCUUGUGAAUAUUAAGUGGAGAGGCGCACACGUUUUUCACGGUGUUUGCUGGUAACAAGAAGAUAAAGAACCAGUUGAACAUCA